rnacentral:rRNA from 1 species
AUGGUUGUCGUCAGCUCGUGCCGUGAGGUGUUGGGUUAAGUCCCGCAACGAGCGCAACCCUCAUUGUUAGUUACUACCAUCCAGUUGAGGACUCUAAUGAGACUGCCAACGACAAGUUGGAGGAAGUGGGGAUGACGUCAAAUCAUCAUGCCCUUUAUGGCCUGGGCUACAAACGUACUACAAUGGCCAAUACAAAGAGAUGCGAAGCGGUGACGUGGAGCGAACCUCAGAAAAGUUGGUCUCAGUUCAGAUUGAAGUCUGCAACUCGACUUCAUGAAGGCGGAAUCGCUAGUAAUCGCGAGUCAGCAGAUCGCGGUGAAUACGGUUCCCGGGUUUU